AUUGAACGCUGGCGGAAUGCUUUACACAUGCAAGUCGAACGGCAGCACGGACUUCGGUCUGGUGGCGAGUGGCGAACGGGUGAGUAAUGUAUCGGAACGUGCCCAGUCGUGGGGGAUAACGUAGUGACAAUGACGCUAAUACCGCAUACGAUCUAUGGAUGAAAUCGGGGGAUCGCAAGACCUCGCGCGAUUGGAGCUGCCGAUAUCAGAUUAGGUAGUUGGUGGGGUAAAGGCCCACCAAGCCAACAAUCUGUAGCUGGUCUGAGAGGACGACCAGCCACGCGGGAACUGAGCCACGGUCCAGACUCCUACGGGAGGCAGCAGUGGGGAAUUUUGGACAAUGGGCGAAAGCCUGAUCCAGCCAUUCCGCGUGCAGGAUGAAGGCCCUCGGGUUGUAAACUGCUUUUGUACAGAACGAAAAGGUUUCUACUAAUACUAGGAGCUCAUGACGGUACUGUAAGAAUAAGCACCGGCUAACUACGUGCCAGCAGCCGCGGUAA
rnacentral:rRNA from 1 species